rfam:Allomyces macrogynus mitochondrial DNA, complete genome.
GAGAGCCGUAUGCGGUGAAAGUUGCACGUACGGUUCGGUGGGAGGUUUCUUAUAUCCCUCGUGGAGUAGGCUAUCGACCCAAC